AAUACCAAAAGUUUAAAAAAUUUUAUUUUAAAAAUGAAGAAAUUAGUGACAUUUCUUCAUAAAAAUAUAUACCACAAUUUUACAAGCAACAAUAAAACGAAACAGUUAGCUGAUUAAAGUGCAUCAAGAAGGAAUUCCAUUCGUACCACAAAAAAUCGUGAAAGAGAAUUUAACGAGGAAGUUUACACUAUCUUUUUUGCCAUAUGUUAUUUAUAUAGCCAGAGGAGACAUCGAACCGCUAAUUAUGCGACAAUUUCUCUAGCCUCUGCGCCACUGCUGCUCAUACAAAUUAUUUCAGCACCAAAUAACGUUUUAUCCAAAUAAGUGUGUUAGGAAGCACAAAUUUUAGAAGAUUUAGAAAUGAAAUUCACGAGUUUAUAUUACUUAAAUGUUUGAAAUUGAUAUUUCCAUGUGUAACAUUAUUCCAAGAAUUAAAAAAAAAGAAUUUUUAUCAAGACGCACAUAUUUAAAUGAUUCUAACUGAAAUCAAUCUAAUCCAUGGCGUGAAGUUUUCAUAAGUUUAAAAUUUACGCUUUAAAUCUUUUUAUAUACACGUUCAGUAAACGUCAAUCAUACAUCUACAAUAUAAACUGAUAUAAAUCGUUAUUCUAAACGUUUGAUCGACGUUUAAUAAACGUUUAUUAUAUUAUAAUAUAGUAAUAUAGCCAUUGGUCAGAAGACUCACAUAACAGCUUAGGUCACGGUGUAAAUGCCUACAAAUCAAUGGACUCCGAUGUUUUAGAAAUUAUUGAUGGCGACAUUGACACAGUUAAAAAAUAUGAGUUGCUGGUCUCUCGUUAUGAAAGUCCUUCUGCAAGAACUUUUUUCUUACAUUUGCUAAAGAAAAUUGUUGGAACAGAUCUGGUAAAAACCACUGUUAUGUCGCGACGUUACUAAUAUUUCUAUGUCAUAAAAAAGCAUGGAUGAUACAGGAAAUAUCGGAAGCUUCCAUUGAAAAAAUCCCACUUUUUUUGUAAGCGACCUUCUCUUUUUUUUAAAGAAAAUUCUAGAUAUAGAAGACUUUCUUUAAAAGCUGAUAAUUGUGCCCCUUCUCUUCCCCCCACCCCUCCUACUUUGAAAUCCGUGUCAUCGACCAUGUUAUAUACGUUAAUUAGACUAGAUUUAAACGUAAAUUAGACAAAAUCUAAACGCUUUAUAAAGCGUUUUCCAAAUGCCACUCCAAGUUUUUUUAUAUUCUGAUUUUUGCAUUUACU